GUUCGAUUCAGGUUGCAACUGGCGGUCGAGGCUCGGCUUUUUCUCGGUGGUGUUGUGCCGUUUUUAUAUCUAUUUCCUACAUUUCCUUUUAAACAGUGCGUUACAUCAUUCCACGAGUGUUGGACACUGUGCAGAGUCAGUUUGUUCAUGACUGCAGUUUAAGGCGAGGAUUGUUACCUUCAGAGGGAGGGAUUUACAAAUGGUAAAUCAACUCUCUCUGCUGGUAGUCAGGUUAGUGAGCAUGUUAGUAUUAAUAUUUUAUUAUUGCCCCUGCAUUCAAUG